rnacentral:rRNA from 1 species
AUUGAACGCUGGCGGCAGGCUUAACACAUGCAAGUCGAGCGGAGAUGAGGUGCUUGCACCUUAUCUUAGCGGCGGACGGGUGUGUAAUGCUUAGGAAUCUGCCUAUUAGUGGGGGACAACAUUCCGAAAGGAAUGCUAAUACCGCAUACGCCCUACGGGGGAAAGCAGGGGAUCUUCGGACCUUGCGCUAAUAGCUGAGCCUAAGUCGGAUUAGCUAGUUGGUGGGGUAAAGGCCUACCAAGGCGACGAUCUGUAGCGGGUCUGCGAGGAUGAUCGGCCACACUGGGACUGAGACACGGCCCAGACUCCUACGGGGGGCAGCAGUGGGGAAUAUUGGACAAUGGGCGGAAGCCUGAUCCAGCCAUGCCGCGUGUGUGAAGAAGGCCUUUUGGUUGUAAAGCACUUUAAGCGAGGAGGAGGCUACCUGGAUUAAUACUCUAGGAUAGUGGACGUUACUCGCAGAAUAAGCACCGGCUAACUCUGUGCCAGCCGCCGCAGUAAAAC